rnacentral:rRNA from 1 species
UGCAGUCGAACGAUGAAGCUUCUAGCUUGCUAGAAGUGGAUUAGUGGCGCACGGGUGAGUAAGGUAUAGUUAAUCUGCCCUACACAAGAGGACAACAGUUGGAAACGACUGCUAAUACUCUAUACUCCUGCUUAACACAAGUUGAGUAGGGAAAGUUUUUCGGUGUAGGAUGAGACUAUAUAGUAUCAGCUAGUUGGUAAGGUAAUGGCUUACCAAGGCUAUGACGCUUAACUGGUCUGAGAGGAUGAUCAGUCACACUGGAACUGAGACACGGUCCAGACUCCUACGGGAGGCAGCAGUAGGGAAUAUUGCGCAAUGGGGGAAACCCUGACGCAGCAACGCCGCGUGGAGGAUGACACUUUUCGGAGCGUAAACUCCUUUUCUUAGGGAAGAAUUCUGACGGUACCUAAGGAAUAAGCACCGGCUAACUCCGUGCCAGCAGCCGCGGUAAUACGGAGGGUGCAAGCGUUACUCGGAAUCACUGGGCGUAAAGGGCGCGUAGGCGGAUUAUCAAGUCUCUUGUGAAAUCUAAUGGCUUAACCAUUAAACUGCUUGGGAAACUGAUAGUCUAGAGUGAGGGAGAGGCAGAUGGAAUUGGUGGUGUAGGGGUAAAAUCCGUAGAUAUCACCAAGAAUACCCAUUGCGAAGGCGAUCUGCUGGAACUCAACUGACGCUAAGGCGCGAAAGCGUGGGGAGCAAACAGGAUUAGAUACCCUGGUAGUCCACGCCCUAAACGAUGUACACUAGUUGUUGGGGUGCUAGUCAUCUCAGUAAUGCAGCUAACGCAUUAAGUGUACCGCCUGGGGAGUACGGUCGCAAGAUUAAAACUCAAAGGAAUAGACGGGGACCCGCACAAGCGGUGGAGCAUGUGGUUUAAUUCGAAGAUACGCGAAGAACCUUACCUGGGCUUGAUAUCCUAAGAACCUUUUAGAGAUAAGAGGGUGCUAGCUUGCUAGAACUUAGAGACAGGUGCUGCACGGCUGUCGUCAGCUCGUGUCGUGAGAUGUUGGGUUAAGUCCCGCAACGAGCGCAACCCACGUAUUUAGUUGCUAACGGUUCGGCCGAGCACUCUAAAUAGACUGCCUUCGUAAGGAGGAGGAAGGUGUGGACGACGUCAAGUCAUCAUGGCCCUUAUGCCCAGGGCGACACACGUGCUACAAUGGCAUAUACAAUGAGACGCAAUACCGCGAGGUGGAGCAAAUCUAUAAAAUAUGUCCCAGUUCGGAUUGUUCUCUGCAACUCGAGAGCAUGAAGCCGGAAUCGCUAGUAAUCGUAGAUCAGCCAUGCUACGGUGAAUACGUUCCCGGGUCUUGUACUCACCGCCCGUCACACCAUGGGAGUUGAUUUCACUCGAAGCCGGAAUACUAAACUAGUACCG